rnacentral:miRNA from 1 species
UGCCUGGCUCCCUGUAUGCCAUU